AAAAAAUAAUAUUAAGCUUUCAUGACUCCAAUUUUCUACUAUGAAACUUCAAUUAACUUUUAAACAUAUAAAAAAUUCUUUCAAAUCCUAUAUUAUUUUUUGAAUUGUUCAUAUAAACACGUAAAUAAUAGAAAGAAUACUAAUAACACAGAAACUUUACCAUUGAAGCCCAAAUUACUGGAGGAUAAUUGGACGUUUCCGCUUCUUUUAACUUGGAUCCCUCAAUAUAUUCUAUAAAUAAAUUGAAAACCAAGAAAACAAUUAACAACCACUAUAUUGGAACCAUAUCUACCACUGCACAGAAUUUACCCUACGAAGAACAUGUGGUGGCCUUCGCUUCUCAACGACAGGAAUGAGGUUCUCCAUAAGCUAAGCUUUUGGAGGAGAUGGCUGAAAUGUACAAGAGUCGCAAUCGAGUCACAUCAACGAUCAAUCCCACACAGCAUGACCCCAUUGUUUGUUACUCUAAAUUACAAACGCCACAUUCCCACAUCAGAACACCAAAUCUUACACAGCAUGAUCCCACCGUUUCUUAAUCUAAAUUUUGUUUAUCAUAUACAUCAGAUAUGCGUUCCUUUGGAUUUGCACUUAGUCACAUCAGUAGGGUGACUGAUCUCUUUAAAUCUCUUCUUCUUUUGCUCAACCUCUUCCCUUAAUAGACGUGAAUUCUCCUCCUCAAGUUGUGUCACCAAGGAUUCUAGCUCAACAGUGUAAGCCUGUUUACGUUCCCUAGACCUGGCAGCAGAUUCACGAUUCUUGAUCAUUCUCCUCUGCUUCUGCUGGGUGGCCUUAUCCAUUGGAGGCUCCUCCACAGCCCUCCUCUUCUGCCUCCCUUUUCCUCCUUCCGCCACCAUCAUCAUCCCAUUUCCCGCCCCUUGAAAUUCUCCGUUGUCAUAAUUAUUAUUAUCAUUGGUUAUUUUGCUAUUGCUAUCCACACCAUAAGCUCCUACAGCCGCCCCCACCUGAACCGGAACUCCAACCCCUCUAACAUCCUCCUCCCUCACCGCACCGGCCUUAGUCAAAAAAUCCUCCAAAGUCAUCCCCUCGAUUCCUCCACCACCACCACCACAAUUUCCCUCCCGCCUCUGAUCCCCGCCAGCCACUAUCUCCUUCCAAACUUCAUCAACGGACUUGCUAGCAGCCUCCUUAAGCAAAGGGAAGCCGCCGUCGCGUGAGAUAGACGCGCCACUGGAGAAGGAUGGCACGUGGAGAUCGUUUGGUGUCAGUUGAGUAGGGUAAGAGUAGAUGUUUUUCAAGAGAUCGUCCAUAGUCGCGGAGAGCAAAGGGCUCUGAGAAGAAGAGAAUUGGUUUUGGUUUUGAUUUUGGUUUUGGAGAUCGGCGAGCGGGAUGGAGAGAGAGGAACAUAAAGAGGGUUGACGUGGCGGAUCGGGAUUCGUCGUUGACGAGGUCGCCAUCACCUUCGACAACGCCAUAGCCCAAAUCCAGAACCUAACACUAGCGAAUUUCUAGGCUCACACUAACAGGGUGGUUACUUGUUGGUUCUCCUGAC
rnacentral:misc_RNA from 1 species